UGGGGAAUAUUGGACAAUGGGCGAAAGCCUGAUCCAGCCAUGCCGCGUGAGUGACGAAGGCCUUAGGGUUGUAAAGCUCUUUUGGCGGGGAAGAUAAUGACGGUACCCGCAGAAUAAGCUCCGGCUAACUUCGUGCCAGCAGCCGCGGUAAUACGAAGGGAGCUAGCGUUGUUCGGAAUCACUGGGCGUAAAGCGCACGUAGGCGGAUUGUUUAGUCAGGGGUGAAAUCCCGGGGCUCAACCUCGGAACUGCCUUUGAUACUGGCAAUCUCGAGUCCGAUAGAGGUGGGUGGAAUUCCUAGUGUAGAGGUGAAAUUCGUAGAUAUUGGGAAGAACACCAGUGGCGAAGGCGGCUAACUGGUCCGGUACUGACGCUGAGGUGCGAAAGCGUGGGGAGCAAACAGGAUUAGAUACCCCCGUAGUCCCUGAGCGGGCUGGCAAGGCGCAU
rnacentral:rRNA from 1 species